GUCGGGAAUCUUGCACAAUGGGCGAAAGCCUGAUGCAGCAACGCCGCGUGAGGGAUGAAGGCCCUCGGGUCGUAAACCUCUGUCGGAAGGGAAGAAAGUAUUUUGGGCUAAUACCCCAGAGUAUCGACGGUACCUUCAAAGGAAGCGCCGGCUAACUCCGUGCCAGCAGCCGCGGUAAUACGGAGGGCGCGAGCGUUAUUCGGAAUCAUUGGGCGUAAAGCGCGUGUAGGCGGCUGGGUAAGUCGGAUGUGAAAGCCCGGGGCUCAACUCCGGAAUUGCAUACGAAACUGCCCAGCUAGAGUCUCGGAGAGGAGGGCGGAAUUCCCGGUGUAGAGGUGAAAUUCGUAGAUAUCGGGAGGAACACCAGUGGCGAAGGCGGCCCUCUGGACGAUGACUGACGCUGAGACGCGAAAGCGUGGGGAGCAAACAGG
rnacentral:rRNA from 1 species